rnacentral:rRNA from 1 species
GACGAACGCUGGCGGCGUGCCUAAUACAUGCAAGUCGAACGAACCGCGACUAGGUGCUUGCACUUGGUCAAGGUGAGUGGCGAACGGGUGAGUAACACGUGGGUAACCUACCUCAUAGUGGGGGAUAACAGUCGGAAACGACUGCUAAUACCGCAUAGGACAUAGGAUCACAUGAUCCAGUGAGGAAAGGUGGCGCAAGCUAUCGCUAAGAGAUGGACCCGCGGUGCAUUAGCUAGUUGGUAGGGUAAAGGCCUACCAAGGCGAUGAUGCAUAGCCGACCUGAGAGGGUGAUCGGCCACAUUGGGACUGAGACACGGCCCAAACUCCUACGGGAGGCAGCAGUAGGGAAUCUUCCGCAAAGGACGCAAGUCUGACGGAGCAACGCCGCGUGAGUGAAGAAGGUCUUCGGAUCGUAAAGCUCUGUUGUUAGAGAAGAACAGCGCAUAGAGUAACUGUUAUGCGUGUGACGGUAUCUAACCAGAAAGCCACGGCUAACUACGUG